GGGGUUGUGGCUCAGUGGUAGAGCACUUGCCUAGCACGUGUGAGGCGCUGGGUUCGAUCCUCAGCACCA
rnacentral:tRNA from 1 species